CCCUGCCACUCUGCCCAGUGCCCAGAUAGCAUGGAGGCCCACUCGACAGAAGGAAUGUUCUCAGCCCAGGCCGGCACCAACGCAGGUGCUCCUGAGGCCCAGCCAACAACAACUUCACCCAGGGCUCAUGAACUGGGGCAGGAAGCACCUGGCCAGUGACCCCCAUCCAAAGGACUGAGUUCACAUCCAAGCUCCUCCACCCCAAGACCCACCAUCCCAAAUGCCACCUGCACAGAGGGUUGGCUCGAGGCCAGGCCCCAUAAAGUUCCACACUCUUCAGUCUGCUGGGGGCCUCCAAGCCUGCUUCACUGGCCUGUCACCUGCUGGACUAUGCAGCCUGUUUGUAUUCACACUUCACCGUCUAGGAAGGACUCCUGGACGUCAAUUUUCUGCAACACCUGGAACCAGACGGACAGAGAGAACUUGACUUGUUCAGGUCCUAGGUGACUGUGCAAUGUGAGUGGGUUACGAGGCCCAAAGGCUUACAGAGACAGCAGCUGAGAUCACAGGCCAAACCCCAAAGAAACUCUGUACUUGCCAUGUUUCAUAGGGAACAAACCGAAACCACCUCCUGCUAUCCCCCGCCUUUGCUGACACCUGUAAAGCUGCCAACCUGCCUCUGCACAUACCUGCAUCGUGUUCACGGUUGAACCUUUGGCUCCUGACUGCAC